ensembl:lncRNA
GACGUCAUGACGUUUUGAGCCAGCCCGAAAAUGUUGGGCUGUGUUGUUGGGUUUCGAAGGAACGGACGACAUUGCGAUGAAAUAACACAUUUAUACCCGUGAAUAAGACGAGCGUGAACCAUAUAUUUUUAUAUUGUUGUUAGUUAUCUUCCGACUGAGUUGGGAAACCGUGUCUUCGACCGCCGCUACCGGGGAGUUAGUCUCGUUUCCCGGAGUGAUGUCCAACCCCGGGACCCGGAGGACCGGGUCCAGCAUCAAGAUCCGUCUGACAGGUGGGUAUGUGGCUCACGCUGUCCGGCCCUGGGUCUGGUGAAUGAACAGAGUAGCGUACGUUGCCGCUGGGAUAGCGUCCGUCCCACGUCAGCCCUGAUCAGCGGACGUACUCCAGAUGUUUUGAUGUUCAUGAGGAGAGGACCCUCAUGUUUAUGCAGCAGCUGAGAUGCGUUAAUCCUGACCUUUCCCCGAACCCGUCUCAAGAGAAUGACGGGAUUGUUUUGGAGAGAAAAGUGGCAUUUGAACGACUGCUGGAGUAAGUUGAAUUAUGCGUAACGCAGGCCAUAUAUUAUAUGUUGGGAGUAAUUAAAAUGUUAAACAAAUGAUUCAACAGUGUUGGCAACAAGUGAAACACAGUUAAAAUAUAAGUGUUCUAUGAGCCUCUUGAGGCUGUGACAGAUGAUGAAGGUAUCUGAUGAUGAGGUGGUGUCCUCAUGGAGAGAGAGAGAGAGAGAGAGAGAGAGAGAGGGGGGGGGGGGGUCUUGAAGGAGCAUGUGAGGGACUCUUCCUCCUCUCAUAUUCCGUCUUCCUCCCGCUGCGCCAUGGCGAUGAGAUGCUAGCAAGGAAUGUUUGAGUCACAAGCAGCACGACUGGAAGCGGAGGACAUCCUGGGCCAUUCUCCACGGGUUAAUCACAGGAAGUAGAACUGGCCUCGCCAGACACAACCAGGCACCCGCAGCCACCACAUCCUCCCCCGCCAGCGCACUGGCUGGCCCCACUCCCUGGUGCCUAGUAGGGAGGCUAGUGAGAGGGCUAGCUGGAGAGGAGAGGGCUAGCUGGAGAGGAGAGGAGAGGAGAGGGCUACUGGGAGAGGAGAGGAGAGGAGAGGGCUACUGGGAGAGGAGAGGAGAGGGCUACUAGGAGAGGAGAGGAGAGGGCUAGCUGGAGAGGAGAGGGCUACUGGGAGAGGAGAGGAGAGGGCUAGCUGGAGAGGAGAGGGCUACUGGGAGAGGAGAGGAGAGGGCUAGCUGGAGAGGAGAGGGCUACUGGGAGAGGAGAGGAGAGGAGAGGGGCUACUAGGAGAGGAGAGGAGAGGAGAGGGCUACUAGGAGAGGAGAGGAGAGGGCUACUAGGAGAGGAGAGGAGAGGGCUACUAGGAGAGGAGAGGAGAGGGCUACUAGGAGAGGAGAGGAGAGGAGAGGAGAGGGCUACUAGGAGAGGAGAGGAGAGGGCUACUAGGAGAGGAGAGGGCUAGCUGGAGAGGAGAGGGCUAGCUGGAGAGGAGAGGGCUAGCUGGAGAGGAGAGGGCUACUGGGAGAGGAGAGGAGAGGGCUACUGGGAGAGGAGAG